CAUCGUGAGGUGGAAUCUGAAGGAAGCCGGAUGUGGGAACAGACUAACCACGGGCAAAUCUCUGGUCUGACGAACAGAAAUCUCAUAUAAGGUCAUGCAUGAGGGUAAGGCAGCGAGUCAAGUCGAAGCCCAAUAACUACACGGAAUUAUACAGUGUGAAUAUGCUGGAUAAUAU
rnacentral:ncRNA from 1 species